rnacentral:misc_RNA from 1 species
UGGGAUGGAUCCCCAGGUAUGC